rnacentral:rRNA from 1 species
UACGAAGGGUGCAAGCGUUACUCGGAAUCACUGGGCGUAAAGCGUGCGUAGGCGGUUUCUUAAGUCUGUCGUGAAAGCCCUGGGCUCAACCUGGGAAUGGCGAUGGAUACUGGGAGGCUAGAGUGUGAUAGAGGAUGGUGGAAUUCCCGGUGUAGCGGUGAAAUGCGUAGAGAUCGGGAGGAACACCAGUGGCGAAGGCGGCCAUCUGGAUCAACACUGACGCUGAGGAGCGAAAAGCAUGGGGAGCGAACAGG